rnacentral:rRNA from 1 species
CCCUUAGAUGUUCUGGGCCGCACGCGCGCUACACUGACGGAGCCAACGAGUCUUUUCCUUGUCCGGAAGGACUGGGUAAUCUUGUGAAACUUCGUCGUGCUGGGGAUAGAGCAUUGCAAUUAUUGCUCUUCAACGAGGAAUUCCUAGUAAGCGUGAGUCAUCAGCUCGCGUUGAUUACGUCCCUGCCCUUUGUAUACACCGCCCGUCGCUACUACCGAUUGAAUGGCUUAGUGAGCCUUUGGGAUUGGCAGCUUGUACCGGCAACGGUAGCAGGCAGCCGAAAACUUAGGCAAACUUGGUCAUUUAGAGGAAGUAAAAGUCGUAACA